AGAGUUUGAUCCUGGCUCAGAACGAACGCUGGCGGCGUGGAUAAGACAUGCAAGUCGAACGCUGACAUUCAGGUAGCAAUAUUUGGAUGUCGGAGUGGCGCAAGGGUGCGUAACACGUGGGUAAUUUGCCGUGAAGUUUGGGAUAACUUGCUGAAAGGCGAGCUAAUACCGGAUGUGAAUUGUUGAAGGCAUCUUCGAAAAUUCAAAGUUGGGGACCGCAAGGCCUGACGCUUUACGAUAAGCCCGCGGCCUAUCAGCUAGUUGGUGAGGUAACGGCUCACCAAGGCUAAGACGGGUAGCUGGUCUGAGAGGACGACCAGCCUCACUGGAACUGAGACACGGUCCAGACACCUACGGGUGGCAGCAGUCGAGAAUUUUUCUCAAUGGGCGAAAGCCUGAAGGAGCGACGCCGCGUGGGGGAUGAAUGGCUUCGGCCCGUAAACCCCUGUCAUUUGUGAACAAAUUGCUUCACCUAACACGUGAAGCAUUGAUUGUAACGGAAGAGGAAGGGACGGCUAACUCUGUGCCAGCAGCCGCGGUAAUACAGAGGUCCCAAGCGUUGUUCGGAUUCACUGGGCGUAAAGGGUGCGUAGGCGGUUUGAUAAGUCUGAUGUGAAAUCCCGCAGCUUAACUGCGGAACUGCAUUGGAAACUAUUUGACUAGAGGAAUGGAGGGGAGACUGGAAUACUCGGUGUAGCAGUGAAAUGCGUAGAUAUCAAGUGGAACACCAGUGGCGAAGGCGAGUCUCUGGACAUUUCCUGACGCUGAGGCACGAAAGCCAGGGGAGCAAACGGGAUUAGAUACCCUAGUAGUCC
rnacentral:rRNA from 1 species